rnacentral:rRNA from 1 species
GACAGAGGGUGCAAACGUUGUUCGGAAUUACUGGGCGUAAAGCGCGCGUAGGCGGCUUUGCAAGUCGGGUGUGAAAUCCCCAGGCUUAACCGUGGAACUGCUUGGUAUACUGGCGAUCUUGAGCCACUUAGGGGCUACCGGAACAAAUGGUGGAGCGGUGAAAUGCGUAGAUAUCAUUUGGAACGCCAAUGGUGGAAACAGGUAGCUGGGAGUGUGCUGACGCUGAGACACGAAAGCCAGGGGAGCAAACGGG